rnacentral:rRNA from 1 species
AGAGUUUGAUCCUGGCUCAGGACGAACGCUGGCGGCGCGCCUAACACAUGCAAGUCGAACGGAGCUGAGAGGAGCUUGCUUUUCUUAGCUUAGUGGCGAACGGGUGAGUAACGCGUGAGUAACCUGCCCUGGAGUGGGGGACAACAGUUGGAAACGACUGCUAAUACCGCAUAAGCCCACGGUACCGCAUGGUACUGAGGGAAAAGGAUUUAUUCGCUUUAGGAUGGACUCGCGUCCAAUUAGCUAGUUGGUGAGGUAACGGCCCACCAAGGCGACGAUUGGUAGCCGGACUGAGAGGUUGAACGGCCACAUUGGGACUGAGACACGGCCCAGACUCCUACGGGAGGCAGCAGUGGGGGAUAUUGCACAAUGGGGGAAACCCUGAUGCAGCGACGCCGCGUGGAGGAAGAAGGUUUUCGGAUUGUAAACUCCUGUCGUUAGGGACGAUAAUGACGGUACCUAACAAGAAAGCACCGGCUAACUACGUGCCAGCAGCCGCGGUAAAACGUAGGGUGCAAGCGUUGUCCGGAAUUACUGGGUGUAAAGGGAGCGCAGGCGGACCGGCAAGUUGGAAGUGAAAUCCAUGGGCUCAACCCGUGAAUUGCUUUCAAAACUGCUGGCCUUGAGUAGUGCAGAGGUAGGUGGAAUUCCCGGUGUAGCGGUGGAAUGCGUAGAUAUCGGGAGGAACACCAGUGGCGAAGGCGGCCUACUGGGCACCAACUGACGCUGAGGCUCGAAAGUGUGGGUAGCAAACAGGAUUAGAUACCCUGGUAGUCCACACCGUAAACGAUGAUUACUAGGUGUUGGAGGAUUGACCCCUUCAGUGCCGCAGUUAACACAAUAAGUAAUCCACCUGGGGAGUACGACCGCAAGGUUGAAACUCAAAGGAAUUGACGGGGGCCCGCAC